CGCUUCAGCCCAGCGGCGGGCCUUGGCCCUUGGCUGCCUACUCCUACCGCCCCAGCCCCGGGCGGCCCUGGGCCUGCUGCGGGCGCGGCGCUGCCCGACCAGAGCUUCCUGUGGAACGUCUUCCAGAGGGUCGAUAAAGACAGGAGUGGAGUGAUAUCAGACACCGAGCUUCAGCAAGCUCUCUCCAACGGAUGAAGCUCCACCCGCCCUUCAGGAUGCAAAGCCCUCCUCUAUAAAGUGCAUGCGGGGCCAGAUGCAGUGGCUCACAUCUGACCUCCCAACACUUUGGGAGGCCGAGGCAGGGGGAUCGCUUGAGCCCAGGAGUUUGAGACCAGCCUGGACAACAUUGUGAGACCCUGUUCCUUGAAUUGCCCUGGGAGAUUUCCUCAGCUUGUACUGGAGGCGUGUGGCCCCAUGAAGCCCGUAGUCACCGUUCACCCUGAGAGACGCUGGCUUUGGGGCUCACACGCCUGCUGUGGGGCAGCCCCAGGAGAUGGCCACCCUGUUUCUCCUGGAGCUGGAGCUGCGUGUGUUCUCAGAAACUGUGGUGGCUGUUCUCUUUUGUUUGCAUCGAUGAAGCCCCACCCGCCCUUCAGGAUGCCAGCCUUGGCAACAUCGUGAGACCCUGUUUCUACAAAAACUAAACAAGUGUAGUGGUGCACGCCUGUAUUCCCAGCUACUUGGGAGGCUGAGAUGGGAAGAUCACUUGAGAGAUCAAGCCACGGCACUCCAGCCUGGGAGACAGAGCGAAACCCCAUCUCAAAAAAACAAAGAAAGUGGAUGCGUGCUGCUCCUGCCAUUGGAUCAUCGCAGCAUUUUUCUUUUCUCUGAUAUGCGCCUUUUUCCUCAUCGUGGGGGCUCAUGUUUUCGUAAUUCCCUCUCGCUACUAGAUUGUGAGCUGUGUGAAGGAAGGUUCAUAGUUGAGUUGUAUGUACAGGCACACAAAAUUUGUCCUUGGAUAGACACAUAUCAAUCCACUUCCUUCUCCUCUCUGAAUUUCUUUAUUUAAAAAAAAAAGUAGAGAUGGAGUCUCACUGUCUUGCCCAGGCUGGUGUCAAACUCCUAGGCUCAAGUGAUCCUCCCACCUCUACUAAUAUGAAUUAUUAGGCUAUGCUAAUAUGAAUUUGUAUACUAAUAUGAUUGAAAUUAGUUUGACUUCUAUAAUAAUUGUUCUCCCAGAUUGGGCUUCUGUUUUGAUAGUAGAACUAAAUUAUUAGGCUAUUUCAACAAAAUGGCCUGGUUUCUCACUUCAGUUAAAUUUGUGCUUCUGAGUGCUUGUAUUCUAGGUGAAACCGCACUGAGAAGGUAUUUGUGGCCUAUACGCUGAUUCAUUGAUUAGACUUCUUUGCACAGGAGAGCUGCUAAAAAUUACUGCGGUGAACAGAUGGAGGCCCAUUGAGGCUUCUCUGUCCUCCACGGGGAACAGCAUUGGCCUAAACCUGCAGACACCAUUGCAAAGGGAAUUCAGGCAAACCGGCUGGUGAAGAAUGAUUCCAGCGUGGGGACAGAGGCUGACAUUUCUUGCGCACGUGGACUCCCUUUAAUCCAGUGACUGUCAGGUCGAUCAUAUAGGUCAGGGGAGGAAACAGGAGGUACAGGAACGCUAGAGGGGAGAAAGCACGGAGAGAUGGGAAAAGCACGGAGAGAGAGACGGGGAAAGGGCAAUCAGGAAGACCGAGAGAAAAGGGGGAAAGCAGAAUGACAGAGGAGGUGUGAAGAGAGAGAAGCCCUCUGGAGUGCUGAAAUACUGAAUAUUCUCCCCUGGGAGCUACUCAGGACUACACUGAAGGCUGGUUACGCUCUUAUGUGCAAUAGAACCUCAAACACAUCGUAACACACCUUUGGAGAAUCCUUACAAGAACACCAAGUUAACAGUUAUCUCUGACCACACUACCUCAGCAAAAAACCAGGAAGAAAAAAUAUUCUUCAACCCUUUUCAGGGACAGAAAGCAUCAUUUCAAAAGUCCAAGAAGGGAAGAACACAAAACUCACUCCUCUGCAUCAGUGAAUUGAUUGUGUGGUGGGGAUGUAAGUCUGCAUGUGACUGACAGUUCCCCAAAGUGGUGCCAAGUCAAUCUAAACUAGAGAGAAUUUCUGGCCAGGCCAAGCAGAGAUUUCAUGGAUGAAGUCUCCCAAAGACUGAUUUCCUAAACAUUAAAC
rnacentral:lncRNA from 1 species